rnacentral:rRNA from 1 species
AGCGAACGCUGGCGGCAGGCUUAACACAUGCAAGUCGAGCGGGCAUAGCAAUAUGUCAGCGGCAGACGGGUGAGUAACGCGUGGGAACGUACCUUUUGGUCCGGAACAACACAGGGAAACUUGUGCUAAUACCGGAUAAGCCCUUACGGGGAAAGAUUUAUCGCCGAAAGAUCGGCCCGCGUCUGAUUAGCUAGUUGGUGAGGUAAUGGCUCACCAAAGCGACGAUCAGUAGCUGGUGUGAGAGAAUGAUCAGCCACAUUGGGACUGAGACACGGCCCAAACUCCUACGGGAGGCAGCGGUGGGGAAUAUUGGACAAUGGGCGCAAGCCUGAUCCAACCAUGCCGCGUGAGUGAUGAAGGCCCUAGGGUUGCAAAGCUCUUUUGUGCGGGAAGAUAAUGACGGUACCGCAAGAAUAAGCCCCGGCUAACUUCGUGCCAGCCGCCGCCGUAA